ensembl:lncRNA
AUGGUGAGACCCACUGUGAGCCCCCUGCCCAGGAGAAAUGCCCCCCACACUCCCGGGACAACCGUAUCCACACUCCCUGGAAGCCUGUGCCCACACUCCUGGGACAGCCGUGCCCAUAUUCCCACACUCUGCCCGCUUGGCACUGCUGGACAGUGCCUGCUCAGGCCAUACCUGAUGUCCAGGGGUUGCAGCCGUGGGGUGCCCCUCUGCCCCAAAUUAACCUUCCUCUCUUCCUGUCCCCAGUGCUCCCGCUGUUCUCGAUGGAACCUGACGUUCCUUCCCCGACCUGGGACAGCCCCACAGCUCCACCCCAGCCUUAUCAGCAGCACCCUUUGCCCGGGAAGUGGCACAGACGGACAGGACUCUGCAUCACCCAGCCAAGCACGUCACCCUGAACGGGGUGGGAGCAGGCACCCACCCUGCAGCCAUGGCCCCCUGCCCCAUGUCACCUCAGGACAUCUUGGUGGGGCUCCAGGGACCAGGCUGUCCCUGUGCGUGGCUGUGGCAGUGUUGGGACAACACCCCGGUGUGAUGGCAUGCAGUGAGGAUGGGAGCCCCUGUGGGGAAAGCAGCUGCUCUGGGGUGAGCAGGGAGGGCAGGAGCAGGAGGGAAGGGAAGGGGCAGGCAGGGAGGAAAAGGAGGGCAGAACAGACAGGGAGGGAGGGCAGGAACAGGCAGCAGAACCAGGCCAGAGCCUGUGCCUUUAAGCGCCACUCCAGCGCUGCUGGCAGCCAGGGCUGUUUACGCCAAACUCCCAUUUAUCUCCCGUCCUGCCCACGCAGCUGCCAGCGGGGCAGCGCCGGGGGCACCCGCAGCACCCUGCCCCGCUCUGCACUCCGCAGGUCCGUGCGCGCCCCACGCCCUGCUGCAGGCACCGGCACGCACCAGUGCGGCCGCCGUGCCACCCUCCCUGCCCACUGCCGGCAACGGGGAAACCUCUCUGGCUGUUUGGGCAGCACUAAAACCCGUGGCCUGGGGUCAGCAGGCAGGUGGGGCAGUGGUUUCUGCACCCAAUUCCCAGGCCAGCGCCCGCCACCCCGUUCCCAGUGGCAGCGGGUGCCUGGGAAGGAGGCGAUGAGCUGGGUGCUGCCUGCAGAGAGCGGGGACGGGGCUGUGUGUGCCUCGCUGCUGCUGCUGCUGCUGCCCACGGGCUCCCACCUUCCUCGGCAGCCUGCCCCAGCACGGCUGGCAGCACGGGCACGGCCCCUGCUCAGAGACCAGCACCCGGCUCGCACACAGCCCCCACAGCCGGGCUCUCCCCACCUUCCCGGGCUCACACGCACGCCCCCGGCUCGGCUGGCUGCUGGGAGCUGCCAGACAGCAGCCGGCAGUGGCUCCUGUCAGCCAUGCACACGCAGUGUGAGCACGCAUGUAUGCACACCUGCGGUGCGCGGCUGCGGGCCCUGCUCAGUCACAGAUGCUCCAGCCCCGGCUGCUCGGCUGCCCGGGGACUGCGGGGCUCGCUGCAGCGGGGGUACGCGGCCUGACAGCCUCCUCAAGCAGGACAAAGGACCGGGGCAGCCUCUGGCCCGACAGGGCUCCCCACGGGGCCCCGGGGCAUCCCCCAUUCCACGUGUACCGGCCGCGACACCCGGCCAGAGCCAAGGGCCUUCCACGGGGCCAAGCCCUACGUUUCUGGCCCACCGUGAGCUCAGACCCCGCUGCCAGGACCUCCUGGCUGGGGCGGUGCUGUCCGAUGGUGGCACACAGCCAGCCCCCCACUGCCCCACAGCAUCCCCUUCGGCUCGGCAGGGCGCUGUGGGGCACCUGCACCCAGGGCCCCGGGUACCCCACGCCACACAGCUGUCUCAUUGCUCCCAUCACUCCUGCACAACGGCAGAGUCACUUCUGAGGACCACAAGGUAUCCCCUCGUUCCACCUGUCCCCUGA